rnacentral:sRNA from 1 species
AAUUAAAGAUUUAACCCAUAUUGAAACGGUGGAUUAAUUAUAUUUUACUUUUUUAUUAAUGUUGAUUCAAAAACCCGUCCCUCCAAAUUCGUCUUGCCAAAAAGUUAUUUAUUUUAUUAAUAUUAAUUUUAUUAAUGAUAUGACUCUGAAUUAUAUUCUAAACAUUUUAGCUAAUAACAUAGGAGUGCACCAUAUUUAUUUAAUAGGGUAAUGUACCAUAUGAUCCGAAUACACUUUUAUCCAAAUCCACCAAAAAAGUCUUGCAAAAAUACUAUAGAGAUAAGAAACGAUAGUCGGUUUUGAUAGGUAUAAGAUUAGCAAAUAUAUUAGUUAGCUUAAAUUAGUUAAAGAAUACAAAUUGAAAAGGUAUAUUACAUUAUUCGAAUAUAGUAUCAAAACUUAUAUAACACAGAGAUUUGAUAAUUUUUUAAUUGUUGAAUACUUUUUUUUGUGCUAAUUUUUUAUGUGAUUAAGAUUUAAUUGUUUUCGUAUAUAAAAUAUUAAAUUGACUUAUUUGUUUAUAAUUUGGUAACAGAUAGAUAUUUGAAUAUUCAGUAUAUUUUGCUUCAGUUUAGGAAAUCUUUGAUGAUACGUCUUUAAAUCCAAUAAGCCCUAUAAUCUAGAUAUUAACCUGCAGUAUACCGCAAGUAGGCUUAUAUUUUAGUUAAACUAAAAUCUUUUAUUGUAAAGAUGAUUUAAAAAUAUAUGAUAUUAUUUUAUUUGAUUUUAUAUGUAUAGUAAACUGUGAGUUCAUGUAUAUGUUUUGUUGAUAUUAUCUAUAUUGUUUAGUGUUUAAGAUCAUACACUUGUAGUUUGAUUGUUAAUUUAAGAGUUUCACCUGUAGUAUUCUAUCUUGUAUUAAUAUCGAUCUAAACCCGUCAAUUCUAGGAUUUUCCUGCUUUUAUUAAAAAUUGAAUCACAUCUAAUAUGUUAUUAAUUAUUGUAGUAUAUAAGAUUAUAAAUUUUCAAUAUAAUAUGUAUGAAAUUGAAUAUAAAUAUUUUAAAUUGUGACUCGUUACUCAGUAGAAAGUUUUCUUAAAUCUAUUUUUCACCCGUUAUAAUAUUUUUUCAUGUAUUGAACAGUUUAUAUUCGUUUUUUAAAAUUCAAAUUGUGGCAUAUGCGAAAUAACUCUAAUUCUUUUUUUAUAAUAAUGAUAUUAUUUUUCCGCAAAAAUAAAAUCAUAUAAAGAUGAGAAGUGAACUAUAAUAAUUAAUAAAAAAUUAAUAUGAUAAUUUA